GUACUUUCAGAACAAACAACUUCCUGUGAAUGUAGCAGUCCAUCAUGUCUGUAUUCCUGGACAUUGUUCAUGUUAUCAGACACUGUGUUUUUCCCCUUCUUAACUUACUCGGUGUUCUUCCUUGGUGGGCCCCUGAGGGUCUCAGGACAGAAAAGGUGGAUGAGCACUCCAGCCGUCUCCAUGAUGGUCUACCUGAGAGACGCCCACUGGAGCUGAGAAAGAUGGAGUGGAUGAGCACUCCAGCUGUCGCUAUGGUCUACCUGAGAGAUGCCCACUGGAGCUGAGAAAGAUGGAGUGGGGUGAGCAACACACCAGCCGUCUCCGUCAUGGUCUGGCUGAGACAUGCGCAGUGGAGCUGAGAAA